GCCAGACUCCUACGGGAGGCAGCAGUGGGGGAUAUUACACAAUGGGGGGAACCCUGACGCAGCGACGCCGCGUGGGUGAAGGAGCGUUUCGGCGCGUAAAGCCCUCUCGGCAGGGAAGAAGGAGGACGGUACCUGACUAAGAAGCCCCGGCUAACUACGUGCCAGCAGCCGCGGUAAUACGUAGGGGGCAAGCGUUAUCCGGAUUUACUGGGUGUAAAGGGGGCGCAGACGGCAGCGCAAGCCAGGAGUGAAAGCCCGGGGCCCAACCCCGGGACUGCUCUUGGAACUGCGCGGCUGGAGUGCAGGAGGGGCAGGCGGAAUUCCUGGUGUAGCGGUGAAAUGCGUAGAUAUCAGGAGGAACACCGGUGGCGAAGGCGGCCUGCUGGACGGCGACUGACGUUGAGGCCCGAAAGCGUGGGGAGCAAACAGGAUUAGAUACCCGAGUACCG
rnacentral:rRNA from 1 species